AUGGGUUUCAGAGAUGUACACUGUUUUAACUUGGCCCUCCUAGCUAAACAGUGCUGGAGAUUGCUAGCAGAACCAGAUUCUUUAUGUGCCAGAAUAUUGAGGGCAAAAUAUUUCCCGGACGGAGAUUUACUAAAUUGUCCCCUCAAGAAAGGUAGUUCUUAUACUUGGCAGAGCUUGUGGAGUGGUGUUCAGACUUUCAAAACAGGAUACGUAUGGAGAGUUGUAGAUGGCACACAAAUAAACAUUUGGGAUGAUCCUUGGGUAUCUAGCAGCCCAAACAGGAAGGUAAUGACUCCACGAGGUAAUAUCAUUCUCACUAAAGUUUCUAAGCUGAUUGACAUGGAUAAUAGGUGUUGGGAUGAACAACUUAUCAGACAUAUUUUCUGGCCCAUUUACAAUCGUAUUUUGAAUAUACCCCUAGCUACGGGGAUGAUGGAGGAUUUUGUUUCGUGGCACUAUAAUAAAACUGGAAUUUUCUCGAUCAAGAUGGCUUACCACAUGGAGUGGGAUCACCAACAUGGACGAAAGCUGAGACAAACAAAUUCAGUAUUGUCCUCAAGUACUAGUCCAAUCUGGCGCAUUCUAUGGAAGCUUCGAGUACCGGCUAAAAUUAAAGUGCAUGUAUGGCGAGCUUUGUAUGGAGCAAUUCCUUGCCGGGGUGUUUUGGCAAAUCGACAUACAAUUACAAUAUCGGACUGCCCAAUUUGUGAGUCAGACUGCGAGAGUGUUCGCCAUUCUUUUUUUAGAUGA
rnacentral:rRNA from 1 species